CACCAUCCCUGGAGGUGUUCAAGAAGUACCUAGAUGCGCCACUGAGGGACGUGGCAUGGUAGUGGCAGUUCAACUAAAUGUUCUUAGAAGUAUUUUCCAACCUUAAUGAUACUAUGAUUCUAUGUUUCUAUGAUUCCUGGGGAGGGAAUAGCCAGUCUCACCAAACAAAGGAAUUCUACUGUUUCUCCUGUAGCUUCUCCAGCGUAUUUCCCUAAUGGAGAGUUUAGAAAAACCUGACCCCUAGUCAUACCGUGCCACUAAUGCUGCAGCUCCAAGCUUGUGGAACCUGAGGUGGAGCAAGCAAGUGCCAGUAAGUGAAACAUUCCAGGGAAGGAAGAAAUUACCAGAAGAUUGUCCCCAGUAACACUGGAACUAAACUGUGGAUGUGGAAUAUUGUAAGAUUUUGAGGAUUUAUUUGAAACAGACAAACAAAAAUCCUCUACGUCAUGUGGAAGUCCUUCAAAUGGAAAUCCUGCCUUGGUUAAAGAAACUGAAGUGGCCAAAAGUGGCUGAAGUGACUCCUCAGCACCUGGACUGAAGCUACUUGGAAUCUCUUUUGCCAGCAGCACAAGCAGAGCCUGCUUGAGAGUAGCAGCACCUAAAAAAGUUUGUCUGCAUGCAGCUCUCCUGAAUUCAAUCAAAUUCAUCUGAACUUUUUCAAAUUCCACUGGAGGAGGAGACAGGAGAUAACUCAGGGAAAGCCUAAAAGAGUAGGACCUGUCAUGCAGCCUCCUUAACUAUGUCGUUCCUAACUGCAUUUGUUACAGUCUUAGCCAUGAUCUUGCCCAAUCCCAGCUGCGUACACCUGUGUGCUCACUUAGAGCCCGUUUUUUGCACCUAUGUGAAGCCUACUCAGAUUUUGAAUACGUAUGAGUUUUGCAACAAUUUACAUUUUCUGUAUUGGUGUAACUUUAGAUAUUUAGUUUCAGCUCUGGCUCAACAUAGUACAUCAGACGUUUUAAAGAUAUAUUUUUUUUUUCCAUAAGAGGAAAAGUAAUUUUAAAGUUGGGUAAAGACAAGGGGAGGUAAGGUGAUAUGGGCCGGUUUGUUUAGCAAUAGGGAUCUGUUUAUUAGUUUAAGGACCAACAUAUUAGUUUAGCAAAAGGAAUCAAUGAAUGCUAAUUCUAAAACUUUCCUUUUCGCUUUUCUUGGUGUGUGAGCAGCCCUGUUUUCUCUUAAUUCUGCUUCACAAGAAGCACCAGAGACAUAAUAGACUGCUUAUCUUUGCAUUUCAUGAGGUGCUAGGAUGUUUUCCUCAUAUUUUCACAUAUAUGGUUUUGGAAAUUGCUGAUUAUGGGUUAACAACCAAUAGAAAUGUGCCAAACAGGGGAAAAACGGCUGAAGGUCAGCUAAAAGUCUCAAUGAUGAAGCUGAUGGUGGAAAAGUGGGGAUAAAGUAAGUGGGCAUAUGACCACCCUAAAUGCAACCAUGCAUGCCCAGAGGGAUAUUAGCAUAUGUUAAUGUGUUCUUGGAAAAGAAUGAAUACGUAUGUCAGUGUACUGCAUAUGCAUGUCUUAACUAUUUAACUGUAGAACCUGAACUCUGAGAGAGUGCGCUUGUUCGUCAAGUUGUCCAAUUCAUAUCAUGAGGAAUAAAGGAAAGGCACUUUCUAACACUACAUUGGAGUUAGAGGGUUUUCUUCCCAGAUAUUGGAUGACAAGGUAUCUACCUUGAGGAAAGAUAUUAUGAAGACCUACUUACAGAUGCUCUAGUUUUUUGGCCAUAUUUUGAUAAUUAGCAUGGAAACCAUGGACCUGAUUUGAGCUAAGCUGUUUGAUCACGUUUUGGAUGACAAGCUGCCCUUUAGCUUGUGUAAAUACGUGAUAUAACUCAUCACCAUUUUCAGUAUAAACCAGCAAGUUCAUCUAAACAUAUCAGUUUUGGUGAAGCCAAAUGUCUUUAUUGCCUAGGGUGAUUUUUUUUAAACUUAUUUCUAAAACUGUGGGAUUUCCAAUUAAAAAAAAAAAUCCCAAAUGUAUUUAUGAAUAAAAAAGGAUAAACACAGUGAUUGCGGAUGCACAUUUUAAUUAACUGGAAAAUCUCUUCUUCUUUUUGUUGAUCCCCUAUUUCCUUCUUUUCCAAGGCUCAUGUGUGAUGAUUGUAGAAAGAUGAAUAAUGUUUUAGUCAUACAACCUUCAUUAAAGCUAUUGAAAAUGUGCUGUUAAUUCCCUGAGUUCAACUUUGAAAACACGAAAGUUACUGUUUAUCCCUGUAUCUAAG
ensembl:lncRNA